GGAAUAUUGGACAAUGGGCGAAAGCCUGAUCCAGCAAUGCCGCGUGAGUGAUGAAGGCCUUAGGGUUGUAAAGCUCUUUUACCCGGGAUGAUAAUGACAGUACCGGGAGAAUAAGCCCCGGCUAACUCCGUGCCAGCAGCCGCGGUAAUCCGGGGGGGGCAAGCGUUGUUCGGAAUUACUGGGCGUAAAGGGUUCGUAGGUGGCCUGCUAAGUCAGACGUGAAAUCCCUCAGCUCAACUGGGGAACUGCGUCUGAGACUGGUGGGCUUGAGUGCAGGAGAGGAACGCGGAAUUCCAGGUGUAGCGGUGAAAUGCGUAGAUAUCUGGAGGAACACCGGUGGCGAAGGCGGCGUUCUGGACUGUUACUGACACUGAGGAACGAAAGCCAGGGGAGCAAAC
rnacentral:rRNA from 1 species